AGAAAUUUCCCCGAAACCCUUACUGCAAAAUUCAAAACGCCAUAACUUCCCGAUCCGAGUUUCGAUUGCCGCACUGUUUGCGGCCACGCGACCACCGCGUCGAGCUCUAUGUUUCUACUGGAAUAAUUUUAUAGGAUCCAAUUAGCUUGAGGAAAACGUUCACCCUUGUUUAUACGAAGCUUGGAUAAGGGGGCUAUGAUUGUUUAGUGAGUUGCCAUAAUCACUACGCGGAAAAUUGGUCAAGGUAUGGUUUAGGUUUCUUGCAUUUAAUAUAUAAUGUUCUAUAAAAACUUAGGCUAGAUGGCCAUAGAAUAAGUUGAAAUACAAGU